rnacentral:rRNA from 1 species
GACGAACGCUGGCGGCGUGCUUAACACAUGCAAGUCGAACGGAAAGGCCCUGCUUUUGUGGGGUGCUCGAGUGGCGAACGGGUGAGUAACACGUGAGUAACCUGCCCUUGACUUUGGGAUAACUUCAGGAAACUGGGGCUAAUACCGGAUAGGAGCUCCUGCUGCAUGGUGGGGGUUGGAAAGUUUCGGCGGUUGGGGAUGGACUCGCGGCUUAUCAGCUUGUUGGUGGGGUAGUGGCUUACCAAGGCUUUGACGGGUAGCCGGCCUGAGAGGGUGACCGGCAACAUUGGGACUGGGAUACGGCCCAGACUCCUACGGGAGGCAGCAGUGGGGAAUCAUGCACAAUGGGCGGACGCCUGAUGCAGCAACGCCGCGUGCGGGAUGAAGGCCUUCGGGUUGUAAACCGCUUUCGCCUGUGACGCAGCGUGAGUGACGGUAAUGGGUAAAGAAGCACCGGCUAACUACGUG